rnacentral:rRNA from 1 species
AUGGAGGCUCCCAUAUCUGCAGUUGCAGGUGAACUCGUUAGCCAUUUCAUUUCCUUCCUCAUUAACAAGUAUCAGUCCUCCUUGUGUCAUGCACAAUUAGAGGAGGAAAAGGUGGCGGAGACAUUGCAGCACCUCCUGAUGAGAGUAGCCACCGUGGUCGAGGAGGCGGAUGCGCGGUACAUCACCAACACCGGGAUGAUGAUGCAGCUCAAGAUGCUCUCAGAGGCCAUGUAUGGAGGACACCGCAUGCUGGACAUCUUGAGGUACCAAGCAGUGCAAAAAAGUGUUUGCUUUGAUGAGGUUAGCAGUAAUGACCCCUCUAGCAACCGCUUCUAUUUAGCCAAGCGGUCUAGGCCAACAACUGAUAAGGUCACAUAUAUCGAGUCAUGUGGUGCCUUGGAAAUCUUAGGAAUUGCUGUUGAUAACAUGGCAAAAUUUGUUGUGCUUCUAAGUGGAUGCGAGCACAUGUCUCGUAGGCCCUAUGAUGUUUACCUUUACACUGACAACUUCAUGUUCAGCCGACACACUGAAAAGCAGAAGAUCUUGAGAUUCUUGUUGCAGCACAAUGACCCUCCUUGUUAUCAUGCACCAGUUCUUCCAGUCAUAGGUAGUGCUGCAAUUGGGAAGAAAACUUUGGUUGCUCAUGCAUGUGGCGAUGAAAGGGUCCGCUCGUGCUUCUCCUCUGUUUUGCACUUGAAAGGAGACGGGCUUUUGAAAAUACUUGACCAUGGAAGUACCAUGGAAGGGAUGAGAAUGUUGAUAGUUAUUGAGUUUGCUUUUGAUAUAGGUGAUGAUGACUGGGACAGAAGAUGCAAGAUCAUCAUCAUAAGUAGACUCCAAAGCUUAGCCAGAUUUGGAUCGGUGAAACCGAUUUUCCUAAGUGCUCUAUCUUACGAUGAGUUGAGGUACCUUUUUAAGACACUGGCAUUCGGAAGCGUUGACCCCGCACAACAUCCACUAUUAGUACAGGUAGUAGAUGAAUUCGCCAAGGUGUUGCACGGUACACCAGGUGCACUUGUGGCGACAAAUACGUUCGCAGAUGUCUUGAGAAGGAACCACAAUGUUCAAUAUUGGCGUUGUGUAUUGGACAAGAGGAAAAGAAUGGUUAAACGAAACCUCUCCAUGUAUGGUGGACACCCAAGCAUGCUUAUAGGAGAAGGACAUCUAGUGGACAUAACGGACUUUGCUUUGUAUCCACUUAGCAUGACACGUUAUACAAUUAAUGGUUCAACAAAGAAGGAAUUGCCAUGUCUGACAUUUGGGGAACUUAUAGAAGAUCGUAGUGCUAGACCAAAGCAAGACUUUGUUCUAGUUUCAUGGGAAUCAAGGAUACCCCCACAUAAUUCGUUUGCUCAUUUUGUGACUAGUCAUGCUCAGGAUACACACGAAGGUGGUGCCUUGUCAGGGAGAAAGCGUCGAGGAGUGUCAAUCUAG